rnacentral:rRNA from 1 species
UACGGAGGGUGCAAGCGUUAUCCGGAUUCACUGGGUUUAAAGGGUGCGUAGGAGGGCAGGUAAGUCAGUGGUGAAAUCCCAGAGCUUAACUCUAGAACUGCCGUUGAUACUAUCUGUCUUGAAUAUUGUGGAGGUGAGCGGAAUAUGUCAUGUAGCGGUGAAAUGCUUAGAUAUGACAUAGAACACCAAUUGCGAAGGCAGCUCGCUACACAUAUAUUGACUCUGAGGCACGAAAGCGUGGGGAUCAAACAGG